UGUUGGCACUAUAUAAAUACAUGUUAAUAAUAAAUAAUAACAACUAUAUACUAUUUCUAGCAUUCAUAUCAGGCCUCUGAACUGGGACCCCCUGUAUAGUCUGAACUACAACUCCCGGCAUCCUACUCCACUGCUGCUGGGAUACUGGGAGUUGUACUAGAGCUGAGGGAGCAGUGAGCAAUAACCUCAUUACUACAUAAAUACUGGCAAUAGUGAACUCUCCUCACACAAAGGAAUCACAAGUCUGUGUCAUUUCUCAACAUGGGACCCAAUCCUUUGUGACUUGCCUGGGGGAGGGGCCCUUGUGUCCCUGAGCUUGACAUCAGCUGUGUGACAGGAAAGAGAUGGAACUAACCAGCAUGCACUGCUCUCAUCCACUCUCAAUUCUACUCAGUAACAAGCAGAAAACAGUCAAACUCAUCAGACACAUCCCUUUAACUGACACUCAAAUCCCAUUUGUCUCUAAUCUGGUGCCCACGUGUGACUGACCCUGCACUGCCAGCUCUCCUGAUUAGCAUCUGCCCACCAGCAACAUGGCCGUGUCUGUGCAGUAGGGACAACUCUGACACACAAUCAUUUCAUUGGUCUCAAACCAAACAAGCUCAUUGGCUAAAGGGCGGAGCUGCCUUCCCAGGGGGAGGGGUGAGAAGUCUUUGUGCUUCUCUUUCCGCCCAGACCUGAUAGAGGGUGUGGUGGACUGGUCAGCCUAUUCUGUUUCCUAUCAUUUAAAAAGUCUAUUUUACUGUUAUACUGUGUGUCUGCUCUGAUAUUUUGCUGUUUCAUUCCCUGUAUUCGCAAACUUUGUCUUGCCUCUCAAUAUACUCCUACUUUAGUCCUAUCCUCACCCACCUUCUAUGUAGGCUCUAAUGCCCAUGCCUAUGCCAAUGAUACACCCGAGGAUGACGAUAAUGAAUCUGAUCCUGCCCUCAUUGAUGCCCUCCGCUCUCUCCCUUAUAUUCCGACCACAGUACUCUCCCAAUACAUUCCCAUGUCCUCCACCCACUCCCACCCCCUCCCUCGCUUAGGUCUCUCCAGGCCACGCUGAAGCAUCAUACCCACCACUAGGGUGUACUCCCUCUGGAGCAACUUCCUAACUUCUAUCUAGCUAUUUGCAACACAUAUAUGGAUGCAAGCUAGGAUGCAACCAAGAGGAACCUCUUCACAGAAACAGACUCGUUGUGGUCAUGCCCCUCUGCACCUGUUCCUGGAAGACGACUGCUGAAUUAAAACCGCAUAAGGACUUUGUACUUUGUAUUUUUCCAUUUGAAACUAUAUAGCUAUGAAGUUUGUACUUUCCCAUUUGAAGUCAUAUAGCCAAACCGCAAGCUUAGGGGGGUGUCAUAACCCCCCCCCACCUAGCCUAUAUAACCUUUUGUACCGUACAAUAAAAAAAAGAAGCAUUUUAUAUACUGAA